CGGGGAGGACGGGGGCGGGCCGCGUGGCGCGAGGCCGCCGGAGGGAGCCCAAGAACGCCUCUCCCUCGGAAAUACAAUCUCUCGGGGGUGGAGGCAACAAAGAAAAAUAACAACUGGAUCACAGCAGAAUGAGGUCCAGUCAGUCCUCACUCUGGAGAACGGAGCAAACCCAUGAAAAGCGGAGCUUAAAAGAUUUCAUACUGUGAAACUGUGGACGUUGAAACCAGGUGAUUUGAAACCACGAAGACAUUUCUGGAAUAAAUGAUAGCCAACUAAUCUGUUCCACCGCGAUUUAAGACUCUCCUACACACUACAGAAAUCACCAACACUGAUACACAUUGUAUAUGAAAGCUCUUGAAAGUAGGUCAAGACAAAAAAAAGACAGCAAUAAGGACUUCAUUAAAAAUCACAACGGAGGUAAAAUUGCUAAAACAAAACAAUAAGGUUAUCUAGAGUUAUAAGUUUAACAGCAUUUUUUCCUGGCGCUGUAAAUAGAGAUGGUCUUCUGAACCAUAUUUUAUUUACAACCUGAAAAGAAUGGAUACUUGGCACUUGAACAGAAUAGAAGUAGAACAAAAGUUCAAGUGCUUAAGCGUAAAGUUCAGACUAAAAUAUUUUGUAGUAGUCUAAAGUUAGACAAAAGGCAUAUCUUCCUUACAACUGGUCUACAGAAAGUCAGGAACAAUGGUAGUGAUGAGGUAUCUAUAGAGAUUUCUAGUAUUAGCAGAAAACAUUCUAGACAGUAUGUUGUCCAGAAUGAAUGUUUUGUAAUGCAUCAGUGAUGGCAAUGUUUAACUGCCAUUGUAUGAGUGGGCACAACAUGAACCCUUUAUGAAAACAAUUAUCAGCUAAAUAAUGAUACAGCAUGUGUGUGCUGAUAUUACCUAUUAACAACACAGGUUCUUCAAAUAUUUACGAAGAGAAGAGUCUGUGGAGUACACUCAAAGACUAAGGAACAAAGAUACAAAAGUGUCACUGAGAGCUAAAAACCAACAAUUAAGGUAGCUAAUGGAUAUUAGUAUUUGUAGCUCAUGUUCCCAAGUGAGGUAUUUUAGGUAUCUAAACCAGAUUUCUCCAAUGUAUGUUAUCAUCAGAUGCCAGUGAAAA